rnacentral:rRNA from 1 species
UACGAAGGGUGCAAGCGUUACUCGGAAUUACUGGGCGUAAGGCGUGCGUAGGUGGUGAGUUAAGUCUGUCGUGAAAGCCCCGGGCUCAACCUGGGAAUGGCGAUGGAUACUGGCUCGCUAGAGUGCGGUAGAGGAGAGUGGAAUUCCCGGCGUAGCAGUGAAAUGCGUAGAGAUCGGGAGGAACAUCAGUUGCGAAGGCGGCUCUCUGGACCAGCACUGACACUGAGGCACGAAAGCGUGGGGAGCAAACAGG